ACGAUGACGAAUUGGAUGUUCAAAAUUUAAGUUCUGGUGAUGUGAAAAAGGGAAAACACAGGUGAAGAUCAACACAAUGAAGAAGAAGACGAGUAGAAAAAAGACGUUUCGUAUUUUCUUUGAUGAUGAUGACAU
rfam:Arabidopsis lyrata subsp. lyrata unplaced genomic scaffold ARALYscaffold_5, whole genome shotgun sequence.